rnacentral:rRNA from 1 species
CCUACGGGCCGCAGCAGUGGGGAAUAUUGGACAAUGGGCGAAAGCCUGAUCCAGCCAUGCCGCGUGUGUGAAGAAGGCCUUCGGGUUGUAAAGCACUUUCAGUGGGGAAGAAAGCCUUGGGGCUAAUACCCUCGAGGAAGGACAUCACCCACAGAAGAAGCACCGGCUAACUCCGUGACAGCAGCCGCGGUAAUACGGAGGGUGCGAGCGUUAAUCGGAAUUACUGGGCGUAAAGCGCGCGUAGGCGGUCUGAUAAGCCGGUUGUGAAAGCCCCGGGCUCAACCUGGGAACGGCAUCCGGAACUGUCAGGCUAGAGUGCAGGAGAGGAAGGUAGAAUUCCCGGUGUAGCGGUGAAAUGCGUAGAGAUCGGGAGGAAUACCAGUGGCGAAGGCGGCCUUCUGGACUGACACUGACGCUGAGGUGCGAAAGCGUGGGUAGCAAACAGGAUUAGAUACCCGUGUAGUC